rnacentral:rRNA from 1 species
UGGCGGCGUGGUCAACACAUGCAAGAUCGUACGAGAAAGUGGAGCAAUCCAUGAGUAAAGUGGCGACUUGGUCAGUAACACGUGACUACCUACCUUCUAGUGGGGGAUAACUCCGGGAAACCGGAGCUAAUACCGCAUAACAUCGCAAGAUCAAAGCAGCAAUGCGCUGGAAGAGGGGGUCGCGGCUGAUUAGCUAGUUGGUAGGGUAAUGGCCUACCAAGGCAAAGAUCGGUAUCCGGCCUGAGAGGGCGCACGGACACACUGGAACUGAAACACGGUCCAGACUCCUACGGGAGGCAGCAGUGGG